rnacentral:lncRNA from 1 species
AAUGGCACUGGAGGUGUAGGAUAUGGAGCAAGAGGGACUGGCAUUGUAAAUCUGAUAAGAGGUAAUCCUGUUUUCCCGAGAUCUUAAAAGCUGACCGCUUCAGAUAAAUGUAACAGCAAUGCUUUUUCUGUUCUCACCAUUUCCUGGAAAACAAGAAAUUACGAAUAUAUGAGUUUGAAAAGUCCAAGGACCUGGAAGCAUUCCAUAAUUCUUAAAGAAAACAAGUUUACAGUAAUAUCCUGUUAGAAUUUUGAAGAAAGUAAUAGAAUUGCUAGAAAAUCCAUAGAUGGUGAAAUACCCAUUUGAUGUUUGCCCAUUGAAAGCCAUAAAUACAAAAAUAAUUAGAGCUCUAAGACUCUUUAUGAAGCUAUAAAUUCAGUUAUCAUUCCGUGGGGAAAACACAUACCUUUGCAGGUUGGAUGAAGUAGAGAGAGAGAGAGAGAGAGAGAGUGGUUUUUAAGUUGCAAAUGGACAAAUAAAUACCGGAGUGAGUGAGAAAAGGUGGUUUUGAGGGAGAUAGUUUUUACCACUUUCUUCGUGGCAGUGCAUUUUUAUAACAUUGCGAUGAAGCUAUCAUUUUCUUCUUUUGCCAAAAGAUAGACAAGGUAAUUUCUAUUCUGCUGGUAGAAUAUCAAGAUCAGGCUUGUCUGGAACUCUGGACCCCUCUCUUAUUUAGUGUAACUCAUUACAUGCACGUGAUUGGUUUGCUUAGCCACACGCUCCUUUCUGAUGGGGGCAUCCAACAACUCAGAUUGGGCCACGUAGCCUAGUACAGUAACAAUGCCUUAGAUUAGAGCUACUAAGAUGUUCUCACUGUAUAAAGACACAGUAUAUUCAUGUACACAUCUAAGUUGCAAGUUUAAAGAUACACAAAGGGGUAAAAUAAUAGUUAAAUAUUUGUCUCUCCUUUCUUUAUAACAUUUUUUUUCUCCUCUUUUACUGUUAUUUUACUUUCGUGUCUUUAAAUGUACACUUUGAAUAUACACAGAUAUAUUCAAAUACAUAUACUAAUGUUUUCCUAAAUAUGCAUUUUUGGAACAUUCUCUCUCUCUCUACGGCUCACUGAAAACCAUACACAGCUCCCGCCAAAAACACGAACCCAUCAACCUCUUGAGACUAACCACGAGCCCAACCAACCACCCCAAAAUCAAAACAAGAGUCGUGCAUCCAUCAAGACCCAAAGAAAGAACACUCUGCAAGACGGUGUUUGUUUGUUUUUUUGAAGCAAAGAGUUGGUCCGAAAUUUUGAGAUAUUUCCGGUCCACGGUAUUGGUUUCCAAUGUGCCAAUGUCUGCGGCAGUAUUGCCAGUAUGGAUUCAAAACAAAUAUCUAUGAUUUGGUGACCUCCUACCAUCAUUAACAGUUCAGAUGGAUCAAUUACUCAAGACUUUGAGGGAAAUUAGAGGUCAGUUUUUAUGGGAUUUAAUAUUUACUGUUGGUGUCUCUAAAAUGUAGAACAUUUGGGGACCAUGUCUGAUUGAGGUUAAUGUAUUCACAAAUAGCCAAGUACUAAGCUAAAUAAAUAAACAUGUUGGCCUCUACCAAUAACAAAUGUGUGCACACGGAUUUCCACGAGGUUUGGUGACAAUUUCCUCUUUCAUAAGUUUGAAGUUAACAAAAUCAAAGAUGAAGACAGUAACUUACUUUUGGAAAAGAAAAUAAAAAUAUUUCCAAAGGAUAGGAUCCCCCAUUCAUACGUUGGUGGCGCAGGAAAUUUUAGAUUAAAAACUUGUACAUCUCUCUCUCUCUUCCCCCCACUCACCCACCCACCCUGAAAGUGGUCCGCACAUUUGAAUUCUAGUAAUGCUACUGGGCUGUUGUGGGAUACAACAUGAGACUUGAAGGACCUUAAAUUUUGGAAAAUAACCAAACAUUAGUGUUGUGGCGCUCUCCUAUAGUUGUAUAGGAAUUGCUUUCUAUUUCUUUGGGCCCACCUGCACCUGAUUUCCAUUACAACAGCCGUAGCCAUAUUUCGAAACAACCUAAAACUAAACCACUUAAGAACACAUAAUUAAGAUUUCUAUUAAACUAAGUAGAUGACUUUAUAAUGUAGACCAAACCAAAUAGUAAAAAAUUGAUGCAGGUGAGAGCAAAACUAUCACAAGUGAAGUGACCCCACAUAAUUGUUCUACUAUUAUUUAUGACUAAUGUCAUGGAAUAGAAUUGUCCUCUCUCUCUCUCUCUCUCAUAUUUAGAUGAUACAUCAUCCAAAUGAAUUAUAUUCCGGCCUUCUUGUAUGCUUUAGUUGCUUAGACUUUCCUCAUGCAGAAUUCUAUUCAGAAAUGUCUUGUUAUGGGGUAUUGGACGGAGCAUGUGGAGUUUAUGGUGUGGUAAUGUGACGAUCAAAAAGAAGAAAACAAAGAUUCACUGCAUUUAAUGCGAUGAAAAUGAUAGAAGAGACUAAAGGAUCGGAGGGGCUGGUUUUCUAAACAAUCGUGCGUUACAUAUCGGACCUGGUAUAAUAAUAAUCUUUCCGUUCCUGGACACUUAUACACACAAGAGAAACAAAAAAAGGCUCCAAAGGGCGGGGAAGAAAGAGGAAACCAGAAAUUAGAAAUCCAUGCAUGAAAACCAAUAAGGUAUGGGGGCAUUGAUUUUUCAGGAUAAGAAACUAGAAGAAAACCCGUGACGAGGACAAGGUUGAUAGAUAAGUAUACGCAUGCAAAUGGACCACCCGCCCACUUGUUUGUACUUUUUUAUUUAAUUUUUCUCCGCAUUCUGGAAAUAUCUUAUCAAUAAUUUUAAGUUUGAUGAAAUCAUUACUUUUUACCAUAUCUUUUAAUAAUUUUAAGGUAUGUGGAUUUUGCAUGGGUUAUUUUACUUAUUAAAGGAAGAGUCCUUACUCCUUCAGAUAGUCAACAUCAUAAUGCCUUAGUUUUCAAAAAGAAAAUGGCUGCACUUGAGACAUGAUUUGAUGAAGAUCUUUAUAACUCGGCGGCAGCAAAAGCAUCAAGGAAGGGUGGGUGCUGACUCGGCAUAAGAUUAGAUGAUGAGAUCCUUAUCCUUUGGCUAUUUUAUUUUUUUCCUGAUUAAAAGUAUUUUUAAUUGGUUGAAGAAGAUAUGGUAGAGGUCAAAUUUCAUUUUGAUUUGUG